GACGUUCACUAACUACCACACGUCCGGUACCUCCCGAAGUUGGGUAGUUCCAUGCGACGAGGUUUGGGGGAGACAAGCUAACCUAACCUGGUUUAGGUAACUAAAUAAGAAGGUAAGAGUAGAACAAACGGGCUCCUCUGGUUGACUUAAGUACCUGAUUUAAUAAUAAAAACCAGAACACUUACGACCAGUUUAAGGAACUAAAAUAAAAUAGGUACUGAGCCCCUUAUAUUUCACGUACGACACUCGGUCUAUGUACUGUUAAUAUAAAAUAGAUAGUUACGAUUUCGAGGAAGUAGACUAGUUACGAAGAAUUAAACUUAUAUUUAAUACAUGGAUAUAAAACUUAAGACUAGUUACGAAGAAGUAAACCUAUAAAAUAUUAAGUAUCUGUCCUAACGCUGAACCAAUUAUUGUGUUAAAUUAAAAGAAUAAUACAACAAUUUCAAGAAUCCUUUUAUCCGUGUAUAGUAGCAUUAUCGAGACUACUAAGGUUUUGAUAAAUUACAAUCUAGUGACAUUCUUUCCUCAUAAAAAACAACCAGAGUCUCUUAUUCUGUUUUUACGUAAAGUUAAAGUGAUAUCAGAACAUACGUGAUGAUUAAAGUGUGUACCGUCCGAAACAUACACUUUAGGGGUCUCAACUCACUAGACUUGGAGUUGAUAACAUGUUUGGAUGUGGGUCCAUAAUACAGGAAUCGAAAAAGUAGUCCAACAGUCCAACAGUUCAGACGGUGUGUUCCACGGGGGUACCCACAUCUAAAUAGGUAACCGAUGGGUAACCUCGUAGUGAACGUCCUGAGAGACAAAUGUGUGUUUUAACUACAUCGAAAAGAUCGGAAGACACAUAUUGAUGGAAAAAAAGUAUCAACAUAGUUCAUUCCUAAUGAAAUAGGUAUGUAACAACCGUAUUUUAACUACGAGUCAGAACACCGUCUGAAACACGUAAUAUUCUGUGAACGGGGUCUAGGUUAAGCAGCUACCUCAAUCUUGUUAAGGCAUGUUGUCUCAUAAUCCAUUAAAUACAAGAUUGGUACAAUAAUAAUAACGUCUUGGUUUAUGUUUACGAAUUAGACUCGGUAAAGAGUGAGGUAAAGGAGAUCCACAGAUGGUUAAUAACAAACAGAAGAAUUCACUUACUCGACGACCAGUAUGAAAUUGGUGUGCAGUUAACGUCCUCACGCUGUCGCGGUAGGACACGGUGUUUGGUACGCUUCUUAAUACCCACCACAUUAGGAUACGAUCGAUCCCACGAUCUGUCUAAAUUAUUUGAGAAACCUCGAGUAGAAAACGGACUUUGCGAUUUUGAUUGGACUGUGUCGUCACUGAUUACUAAUUAUGUUACCUCACGUAAACUAGGUGGAAUUUUUUUAUGGAUAACCCCUUAUUCUUACUUUUCAUUAGUGGGGACAAAGACGUCACCUUAAGUUCAUAUGGUCGAGCAGAUAAAUAAACUGACAACAAUCUAACAAAAUAGGACCAGACUGCACAAUUACCUCAACAAAGUAAGGAGUGUGCUGGGGAAAGUUAACCUAGUCAAGAGGAAAACCCAAUGAGAUAUAAGGGAUGUAUAUAGAAAUAAUACAAGUAGCUCUGAAGUCUCAUUCUGUAAAUAAAAUAAGUAUCAUGGAAGUUCCAUUGUACCAUGGAUGUUGCGUCAGCCCGAUUACCAUUAGUCAAGAUUUAGAUUAGUUCACAUUCGAAGAGACAACAGACAUGACGUCGGCACUACUAGUCUUCAAGUCCUGGGGUGACAUCUGUCCUUUUUUUCUUAUUAGAACCCCUGUAGCGACUAGUUACCUGAGGUACUACUCUAUUAGCGGCCGCGGUAGAGACUAAGAUAACUACUCGCGCAUGUAUGUCGUGGCCGUCGGUGAAUCAAGUUCCUACCAUCCUAUCAUUGUUUACAAAUACCUGCUGAGGAUUAAUUUGAUCUUGUUUUUUAACGAACGUUAAAAGUAACCAACGACAACCGUCACUCCACGUACAUUAUGUAACUUUUGAACGACGAUACCCGUUUCUGUUAUACGCACAUAAACAUCCGACUCAACAAAUAACAAAUAAAACCAGCGUAGUCCGUUACACACUUGAUUCGAAAACGGUAACGACUAGCACAUAAGAGAGACACGAUCCUUCGUAUCAAAGUCGAAUAGGGGA
rnacentral:rRNA from 1 species